rnacentral:rRNA from 1 species
GAUGAACGCUGGCGGCGUGCCUAACACAUGCAAGUCGAACGAAGCACUUUAAAUAGAUUUCUUCGGAAUGAAGUUUUUUGUGACUUAGUGGCGGACGGGUGAGUAACGCGUGGGUAACCUGCCCAGUACUGGGGGACAACAGUUGGAAACGACUGCUAAUACCGCAUAAGCCUACGGUGUCGCAUGACACAGUAGGAAAAAUUCCGGUGGUACUGGAUGGGCCCGCGUCUGAUUAGCUAGUUAGUAAGGUAAUGGCGUAUCAAGGCGACGAUCAGUAGCCGGCUUAAGAGAGUAGACGGCCACAUUGGGACUGAGACACGGCCCAAACUCCUACGGGAGGCAGCAGUGGGGAAUAUUGCACAAUGGGGGAAACCCUGAUGCAGCAACGCCGCGUGAGUGAAUAAGUAUUUCGGUAUGUAAAGCUCUAUCAGCAGGGAAGAUAAUGACGGUACCUGACUAAGAAGCACCGGCUAAAUACGUGCCAGCCGCCGCAGUAAAAC